rnacentral:rRNA from 1 species
AGUGAACGCUGGCGGUAGGCCUAACACAUGCAAGUCGAACGGCAGCACAGUAAGAGCUUGCUCUUACGGGUGGCGAGUGGCGGACGGGUGAGGAAUACAUCGGAACCUACUUUUUCGCGGGGGAUAACGUAGGGAAACUUACGCUAAUACCGCAUACGACCUACGGGUGAAAGCAGGGGAUCUUCGGACCUUGCACGAUUGAAUGAGCCGAUGUCGGAUUAGCUAGUUGGCGGGGUAAAGGCCCACCAAGGCGACGAUCCGUAGCUGGUCUGAGAGGAUGAUCAGCCACACUGGAACUGAGACACGGUCCAGACUCCUACGGGAGGCAGCAGUGGGGAAUAUUGGACAAUGGGCGCAAGCCUGAUCCAGCCAUACCGCGUGGGUGAAGAAGGCCUUCGGGUUGUAAAGCCCUUUUGUUGGGAAAGAAAAGCAGCAGGUUAAUACCCCGCUGUUCUGACGGUACCCAAAGAAUAAGCACCGGCUAACUUCGUG